UUGGGGGCGGUGCCACUGCUCUCGGCGGGGCUGCCUGGGCGUGCGAGCUGUCACCACCAUGCGGCUCCGCAGGAAACACAAGAGCCCGCCGGUGCUAAGCCAUGAGUUCAUCAUCCAGAACCAUGUGGAUGUCGUAUCCUGCCUGGUGAUGAGCCUUCUGAUGGGGGUCGUUUUUGAGGCCACAACCAAGAAUGCCAUCAUCUUUGUAGCCGUACAGUACAAUGUCACCUAUACCAUUGAUGACAGCAAUGAGCAAUUUCAUUUUUAUGACUAUGGUCCAAAAGACAUUGCCACGAUCUUCUUCUACAUGCUCAUAGCUAUUAAUCUGCAUGCUGUAAUCCAGGAGAACAUAUUAGAUAAAAUUAAUAGACGUCUGCAUUUGUCGAAAACAAAGCACAGCAAAUUCAAUGAAUCGGGACAGCUAGCGUUUUUCUCCUUAUUUUCAUUUAUAUGGGGAUCAAGUAUUUUGAAUGCAGAAGAAUUCGCGAUGGACCUAACCUCACUCUGGACAGAGUAUCCCCAUUGUCGUAUGCUUUUUCAGGUAAAGUUCUUCUAUAUUUGCCAGAUAGCCUAUUGGCUUCAUGCACUGCCAGAGCUAUACUUUCAAAAGAUCCAAAAGGAAGAUAUUCCAAGGCAGCUAUGUUAUAUUUGCCUUUACAUUAUUCAUAUCUCUGGUGCCUAUAUAUUAAAUUUUCAGCGUUUGGGGCUAAUUCUGAUGGUACCUCACUAUUUAGUGGAAUUCAUUUUUCAUGCCUCACGUCUUUUCUACUUCAGUGAUGAAAACAAGCAAAAAGGAUUUACCAUUUGGGCUUUGCUUUUCGUGGUGGUGCGUCUUUUGACCCUGACUUUAUCUGUCCUCACAUUUGGAUUUGGUUUGGCAAGAGCAGAGAAUUCAGAUUUUUCCAUAGCAGGCGGAAACUUCAAUGUACUCCCUGUGAGGUAUAAGAAGGAUUGGCUGCCUGGCUACUGUUUGUCUAACACAGGCCUGGAUGAUGUGGAAAUUUAUAAAUUUUCAGCUGAAGAAAUAUAGAGAGCAUGUUAAUAACCAGAUUCCAAAGAAAAAGAUAACUAACACAAAAAAGAAACGAACAAACCAGGAACCAAACAGAGAGAACUGUGUCAAUGGAGCAGCAAAAGUAGAAGGUGAAGCAUCGCCAAGAAUAAGAAAAUCAAAACCAGUAUGAGAAUACAAGGUAGUAUCAGAAGACAACAUUUGACAGAAGACUGGCUUAAAAAACUGACGCUGCAGAACUAUUAUUUGGAUGUCUUAUUAUUUCAACGGACGUUACCAGGUUCUAUUUUUAAAAUAUAUUUUUUAACAACCCUACAUCUAUGACAAGAUCAUCUUUGAUGCACCUGAACACAAUAGUCAUCUCCAAAUUUCACUUUGCUUUAACAAUAGAAACAGAUUAAUCCGUUUGAACUUCUGGUUCUGUGAUCAGAAGUUAAUACAUUUCCAUAACGUUUGCAUUAUGGAAGGCUGUCGAAAUCUAAGUUGUCUAUUCAUUUGCUUUUACAGAAUUAAAAAUUCUGUACCAAAAAGAUCUUACCACGUCUGUCUGUCUCCCCUGCCUCUUCCCUCCCCAAGAAUUUUUCUUUAUUCAUCUUACAUGGAAUAAGAGGUAUAUUUAAAGUAGCCUGGUAAAAAAAGCAAAAAUUUUCUAUACUUGCUUUCUCUUUAAAAAUUACAGAUUUAGAGCAAGGGCAAAUUCUGACAGGACAUCACCAAUCUUCUUUCAGUAUAAAAGUGAGACUAGUGUUCAGUAAAGGUGGAACUUGCGUGCCUUGGGAAAAAUGCUAGACUGUGCCUGUUGGAUUUUGCAGUGGAUUGUACUGUCUCGUAUGGGGCAAGGGGAAGAAAAGUAGCCAAUUAACGUGUAGUAUUUUCUUAGCCCUUUUGAAAUAAAAGACAAGGCUUCCAAAUAUUUCUAAAAAGCCAGUAUUUCAUGCUUGCAGUCAUGUGCCAGAUUUUUUUCAACCACAUUUUUCUUUAAUUUAUUACUGACAUGUCUUACACUUCUGAGUCUAUGCAGAAGGUAUUUAAGGAAGGUGCUCAAACAACAUUGCAGUGAAUGUUUCACGAAGCGUAACCUUUUUUCUUUCUUAGCCUGUAGAUAGUAAUUCAUUUUAGUCUGACUCAAGGGUUUUAUGUCUAUGAAGGUAUUAAUUUGCUCCUUAUGUGAACAUUUUAUAUGUAUAUAAUUUUAAUAUUAAAAUGAUUAUAUUAUGAAAAGAUUAAUGGUAUUUUUGUAACUAACCCUUAUAGAUCUGAGGCUAGUAUCUCAAUGUUGGACAAGUUUCAUAAACUCACGUUCUUAUUUCCCAUAACUUUCCCUUUGUGCAAAUAGACUGUAGGAAUAUUACAUUAAUUCACGUAAGCCUAUAAAUUUAUACUGGAAAUGUUUACCAUGGAACUAGAAUACAUUUACAUUUGCUAAUAUUUUUGAUAAGCUUGUAUAGUAAUGAAUUCCUUGUUUGAUAGAAGUACCAUCUUUUGAGCAGUUUGGGAGAGAUUUGCUUAGCCUUCAAGUAUUUCUGAGCAUGCUGCUCAUAAGACAAUGUUUUCUUUGAUGCGUACUGCAACUGCAAGCUUACAGGCCCUGUAGAUUUCAGUGUGUGCACACCUAAGUCACCAGGCUUUCAAAAGGAAAUCCAGACAGUGGUUUACAUGCCAGUAUCCAAUUCUAGGCACUUGAAUAAACUGAUUACACUCUUAAAUAUUCUUAUUGCAUGAUACUCGUGAUAGCCAUUUCAAAGAAGCUUGAUCAUUUUUCUUUAAAGAUAGUGUAUUUUACUUGAAUUAUUAUUUUAGAAAUACAAAUACAAGGCAAGUAUAACUGCUAUUAUAUUCCAUGUAGACAUAUAUUUUAUGUAAGAACUUCCUCUUUACAACAUGAUGAAUUUUUUUUAGUUGAAAAUUGCUGUCUGUAUAUUAAAUAUUUGGAUACUUAAAGUACCACCAAAAGCAUUACAUGAACUCUAGGCUUGUUAUUAUGAAGAUGUUUCAGAAGGCUUUGCAACAAAAACUCUGGUUUAAUUUAUUUAAAAUGCUGUUCUUUCAAAUUCUACAGUGUAAUUACAGGUGUAAUUUACAGAAAGCUGUAAAGAGAGUUCCACGGAAUUUACAAAUAAAGCAAAUGGGCAGGUUGGUGUAACAACUAGUUUGUUAACAAAAAAGCAAGUGUGUAGGCUGUUAGAAGUUAAUCGAAUUAAAGCAGUGUUUCUUAAUGA